AAUAUUGGUCAAUGGGGGCAACGCUGAUCCAGCCAUGCCUCGUUUUUGAAUAAUGUCUUCGGAUAGCACCGCACCUGAAGUUGCGAGGAAGGGCUUUAGGUUAAUACCCUCAACUUUUGACUUUACCAACAGAAUAAGCACCGGCUACCUCUCUGCCAGCAGCCGCGGUAAUACAGAGGGUCCAAGCGUUAACCGGAAUUACUGGGCGUAAAGCGCGCGUAGGUGGUUCAGUAAGAUGGGUGUGAAAUCCCCGGGCUUAACCUGGGAACUGCUUUCAUAACUGCUGAGCUAGAGUACGGUAGAGGGUAGUGGAAUUUCCUGUGUAGCGGUGAAAUGCGUAGAUAUAGGAAGGAACACCAGUGGCGAAGGCGACUACCUGGACUGAUACUGACACUGAGGUGCGAAAGCGUGGGGAGCAA
rnacentral:rRNA from 1 species